GUCCGGGGGCUUUGUCUUGACUGGGGCGCCCAAGCUCUUUAGACUUUCGUUCCCCGAAAAUGGGCAGGACUGACGUUCUGCUAUUUCGUUUAUGUCGCAAGACAAUCAGUGGAGCUAUAGA
rnacentral:sRNA from 1 species